rnacentral:rRNA from 1 species
GAUGAACGCUGGCGGCGUGCCUAAUACAUGCGAGUCGAGCGAACGGACGAGAAGCUUGCUUCUCUGAUGUUAGCGGCGGACGGGUGAGUAACACGUGGAUAACCUACCUAUAAGACUGGGAUAACUUCGGGAAACCGGAGCUAAUACCGGAUAAUAUUUUGAACAGCAUGGUUCAAAAGUGAAAGACGGUCUUGCUGUCACUUAUAGAUGGAUCCGCGCUGCAUUAGCUAGUUGGUAAGGUAACGGCUUACCAAGGCAACGAUGCAUAGCCGACCUGAGAGGGUUAUCGGCCCCACCUGAACUUAGACACGGUCCCGACUCCUACGGGAGGCAGCAGUAGGGAAUCUUCCGCAAUUGGCGAAAGCCUGACGGAGCAACGCCGCGUGAGUGAUGAAGGUCUUCGGAUCGUAAAACUCUGUUAUUUGGGAAGAACAUAUGUGUAAGUAACUGUUCACAUCUUGACGGUACCUAAUCAGAAAGCCACGGCUAACUACGUG